GCCCAAGAGAUCGGGAUAACACCUGGAAACAAGAUGCUAAUACCGGAUAACAACAGAUGAUGCCUAUCAACUGUUUAAAAGAUGGUUCUGCUAUCACUCUUGGAUGGACCUGCGGUGCAUUAGCUAGUUGGUAGGGUAACGGCCUACCAAGGCGAUGAUGCAUAGCCGAGUUGAGAGACUGAUCGGCCACAUUGGGACUGAGACACGGCCCAAACUCCUACGGGAGGCAGCAGUU
rnacentral:rRNA from 1 species